AACGCACAUUGCGCCCCUUGGUAUUCCAUUGGGCAUGCCUGUUCGAGCGUCAUUUACACCCUCAAGCUCCGCUUGGUGUUGGGCGUCUGUCCUUGCUACACGCGAAGACUCGCCUUAAAUUCAUUGGCAGUGGCACCGUCGGCUUCUUGCGCAGCACAUUGCGCUAUAGAAGGCUACCGGCAGUCCAGCUACCAUUAAGAAACUACCCAGUUUGACCUCGAAUCAGGUAGGGAUACCCGCUGAACUUAA
rnacentral:misc_RNA from 1 species